AAAUAAAUAUGUCUUAUUGAAUCUGUAUCUUACUUAAAUAAAUCAGCAUAGGUGUAAUAGUGUAGCAAAUAAGGUGAUUUAUUUACAUUAUUAUAUUGUGUUUCCAACUACGGUGGCUAGAAACACAACAAUUAGUUCUAUCUAUACCGUGACUGUUGAGGUAUUUAUAUAUCUGUACGUCCAUAACAAAGAGCACAGAUGUCAUAGUCCUCGUGGAUUACACUUCAUAUUUUAAUUUAUUCUGUAGCAGUUCAAAAGUAACAACUGUAACUAUUCAUCGUAGUCGUAACUCACAAUCGCAAGCAAUAUGUGAUGGCUCUUCUUGUGGAUCCAGUUGUGAAAUGACAAGGAUAAUAAAAUUGGUGCUUCAUAUUCAGAUUCUGACGAGAAACAGUUCAAUUUGAAAAAGACAAAAGAAAUAAUAAUACAGGAAACUUGUAGACUGGACAAAACAGAGGAGAAAGUACACUUAUCAAAAAUAUAUCUCAACCAAAAGGUAUGAAUUAAUAACAAGUCUAAAAUGUUCAGGAUUCUGCCAAUAAAGAAGAGCUACAAAAUAAAUUGCUUGAUUUACAAAUCAACCAUCAAACAAAAAAAUAUUGAUGAAUUAAGUCUUAAUCACAAUGAUAUUGUCAAUCUACUUAUAACGAUACCAGAAAAAAAAUAUUAAAACUUUAAAUAAAUUGUGAAGAUCAAAUAAUUUC